rnacentral:rRNA from 1 species
UCCUGGCUCAGGAUGAACGCUGGCGGCGUGUCUAACACAUGCAAGUCGAGCGAGAUUUUGAGGAGUAGAGACUUCGGUCAAAGCGAGUCAAAUGAAAGCGGCGGACGGGUGAGUAACGCGUGAGCAAUCUGCCCCAUACAAAGGGAUACCCACUGGAAACGGUGAUUAAUACCUUAUAAGACCACAGAGUCGCAUGGCUCAGGGGUCAAAGAUUUAUCGGUAUGGGAUGAGCUCGCGUCUGAAUUAGCUAGUUGGUAAGGUAAUGGCUUACCAAGGCGACGAUCAGUAGCCGACCUGAGAGGGUGAACGGCCACACUGGAACUGAGACACGGUCCAGACUCCUACGGGAGGCAGCAGUGGGGAAUAUUGCACAAUGGGCGCAAGCCUGAUGCAGCAACGCCGCGUGAAUGAUGAAGGCCUUCGGGUCGUAAAGUUCUGUCCAAAGGGAAGAAUAAAAUGACGGUACCUUUGGAGGAAGCCCCGGCUAACUACGUGCCAGCAGCCGCGGUAAUACGUAGGGGGGCAAGCGUUAUCCGGAAUCACUGGGCGUAA